rnacentral:rRNA from 1 species
AUGCACGCUGGCGGCGUGCCUCAUCCAUGCAAGUAGAACGCUGAAGGAGGAGCUUGCUCUUCUGGAUGAGUUGCGAACGGGUGAGUAACGCGUAGGUAACCUGCCUGGUAGCGGGGGAUAACUAUUGGAAACGAUAGCUAAUACCGCAUGACAACAGUUAUUGCAUGAUAACUGUUUAAAAGGGGCAACUGCUCCACUACCAGAUGGACCUGCGUUGUAUUAGCUAGUUGGUGAGGUAACGGCUCACCAAGGCGACGAUACAUAGCCGACCUGAGAGGGUGAUCGGCCACACUGGGACUGAGACACGGCCCAGACUCCUACGGGAGGCAGCAGUAGGGAAUCUUCGGCAAUGGACGGAAGUCUGACCGAGCAACGCCGCGUGAGUGAAGAAGGUUUUCGGAUCGUAAAGCUCUGUUGUAAGAGAAGAACGAGUGUGAGAGUGGAAAGUUCACACUGUGACGGUAGCUUACCAGAAAGGGACGGCUAACUACGUG